CAAAAGGCACCAGCUCUCAUAAGCAUCCUUGAUACCGUAAGGCAUGACUAACGCAAGUCCAGAAAUUGAUAAAAAGAUAUUCCAAAUGUCAGCUGCUACUGUACGUCUAUUUCUUUCUUUAAAUCGUAAAUACAAUGACAUAAUAUUAACUUAUAAGGUCCUUUUCUAGUUAUUAAAGCUUCUCUUUGCAACUGUUUUUUUUAUCUUCAUUUGUAGUUUCUAUUGCCUGAAUUCUAAAACACUAGACACAAUGUUUUAGUAAAAGAGAGGACAGCAUUUUUUGCUCAUUUAUUGGUAGCAUAUCUUUUAUGUUUUCCCAAGUUUUAUGAGUUUUUCAAAAAUUCCAUCAACUGAGAAUAAAAUCUGGAGCUAGGCUUUGGCUACAGUUGACCUUUUUGAGGUCCUUGAAAGAAGCCCUAUAAUUCUCGGAGUUGAAUAAGCCCUUCCUAAUUUUUUUUCAUCUCUUCUUUUCCACAUGACCGGUGAUAGGAAGGAGUGGAGGUCUAAGAUUAGGAUAGUAGGUUAGGUAGUCUAGAUUAUUCAUACCAGUAGUGUUAGUACGUACUCUCGCAUUUGGUUGGUAGUAGGCUUAUUUGAAUACUUGUUUUUUUUUUCUCUGUUUCUACAUGGUUUUUCGGUAUUGUCCCGUAUUGUUUCUUGUUAUUAUUGUGGUACCUAUGCUUGCCUGAGCCGAAGGUCUAUUGGAAAUAACCUCUCUACCUCCAUAAAGGUAGGGGUAAGGUCUGCGUACACACUACCCUUCUCAGACCCCACUAUGUGGGAUUAUACUGGGUAUGUUGUUGUUCUUUUCCACAAGAAAAAUAUUUUCAAUCUUUAAUGUGACAAUAACAUUUCUUUCCAAAUUCUCUUUUUGGUUUUAGUUUUGUUUCUUAUAUUGUUGUGUCUUUAAAAACUAGAUCUGAGAGGAAAUGCAUCACUUCAGCCCGAGCGUUUCCACUCAAGGUCUGGAUUUCAAGAGCAAACUCUUGUCGCUGAAUUACAUUUUUUUUCUUUUCAUUUCUCUGAUUCUAUCUUUUCUUCAUGCACUUUUAAAAGGAAUAACAGACCUUAAGAUCAGACCUCAAAUGUGACUGCUUCAACAUCUGUUGAUGAUGCUAAUGCUAACACGACAUUGGUCUAUACAAUGUGAUAAACUUGAGCUGUAUCUUCCAUUGGCUUUUGUAAAAUCAAAUGGCUUGAUGAAUAGACAUUGUGAGAUGAUUCUUGAAGUUCAACUAGGGCCAAUGGAAGUUCACGUUGGGAUUAACAGGGGAUGGCAACAGUUCAGAGAAGCAAAUGAUGUCCAAGUAGGAGAUACAUAUUAAGUUUGAACUGAUCAACAACAAAUAAUACCCGUUGCUUUCCAUUGUGAGUAUUCCUUUGCUUCCCUAUAUUUUCAUGAUAAAAAUUUAUUUGCACGAAAUGUUUAUACCAAACCAAAAAACACAUGACAAGUGUCUUUCCUACAUACAAUUAUCAUUUAACCAUUGUUAAGUGAUAUGUAUUCUCACUUUAUUUUGUAAUUACUUAGGUUAAAUAUAUUGAUUUUGUGUAAAAACUGGGUGCGGAUAAGUAUUUACUUGUUUUCAUGAUCUUCCUCCGUGCGAUACAUGCUUUUGUUUUUCUUCUUUCCCGUCAGGCUAUUACAAUGGAGAGAACGGAAUCAUGAACAAAUUUUCAAUGUUAGUGAUUUGAAAAUAUUAUGACAUGCUCUGAAAGAAUUAAUCACCGUAAAUUGUAUUUUCCCUCGAAAAUAGUAUUCUUGCUUAUUUCAAUGAUCCUUACUACAGAAAGAUUAUUUUUUAUGUUAAAAGGAUCUUGACAGGUUUUAAAUAAUCUGGAUGCAUUGCUUUACAAAAUCGGAUAUGCACUAUAUGGCCUUUUUUGAGGCCACUCGUUAAAUACUACUCCCUCCGGUCCAUAAUAAGUGACCUUUUGGCCUUUUUAUUUUUCUCCAAAAUAAGUGUCAUUUUUACAUAAUCAAGAAUGAAUUAACUGUAAUUUUUCAUAUUUUGUCCCUAUUUACAUAGCCCAAUGUGUCAAGUUAACAAUAUGCAAAAUUUAAUCAAGGGUAAUUUAGUCAAAAUACUUAUUUUCUAGGAGGUUGUACAAAAAUGUCACUUAUUGUGGAUCGGAGGGAGUACCCUGUUAGUCUAGUGGCGUCAAAAAGGCCAUUUCUGGAGUUGCAUCGCCUAAAUCCGCCUCUACCCACCCAAAGAAAAUCUAGCUUUAGGUCUUGGACUUUAAUUGCUAUAUAGUGGUGUCUACAAAAUUUUGAUUCAUUGUGAAGAGAGUAUGUUAUGUUAAAAGAAAAUUUUCAGGUAAAUAUUCUGGGAAGGAUGCC
rnacentral:lncRNA from 1 species